GACGAACGCUGGCGGCGUGCUUAACACAUGCAAGUCGAACGAAGAGCGAUGGAAGCUUGCUUCUAUCAAUCUUAGUGGCGAACGGGUGAGUAACGCGUAAUCAACCUGCCCUUCAGAGGGGGACAACAGUUGGAAACGACUGCUAAUACCGCAUACGAUCUAACCUCGGCAUCGAGGAUAGAUGAAAGGUGGCCUCUACAUGUAAGCUAUCACUGAAGGAGGGGAUUGCGUCUGAUUAGCUAGUUGGAGGGGUAACGGCCCACCAAGGCGAUGAUCAGUAGCCGGUCUGAGAGGAUGAACGGCCACAUUGGGACUGAGACACGGCCCAGACUCCUACGGGAGGCAGCAGUGGGGAAUCUUCCGCAAUGGGCGAAAGUCUGACGGAGCAACGCCGCGUGAGUGAUGACGGCCUUCGGGUUGUAAAGCUCUGUUAAUCGGGACGAAAGGCCUUCUUGCGAAUAGUUAGAAGGAUUGACGGUACCGGAAUAGAAAGCCACGGCUAACUACGUG
rnacentral:rRNA from 1 species